UCGAGAGUUUGAUCCUGGCUCAGGAUGAACGCUAGCGGCAGGCUUAACAUAUGCAAGUCGAGGGGUAUAGUUCUUCGGAGCUAGAGACCGGCGCACGGGUGCGUAACGCGUAUGCAAUCUACCUUUACAGAGGGAUAGCCCAGAGAAAUUUGGAUUAAUACCUCAUAGUAUGUGAGAAUCGCAUGGUUUUCACAUUAAAGUCACAACGGUAAAAGAUGAGCAUGCGUCCCAUUAGCUAGAUGGUAA
rnacentral:rRNA from 1 species